CACUCACUCAUUGGCAGAUCAUCUUCGCAUUAUGCGUGACCUUCCCACAGUCUUCUUUGGACUGACUUCUCGGUAUCGACUCAGCUUGCCUCUGAUCUUCUCUUCUCAUCUCUGUAACACUACAGCCUUCCGUUCCUGACUACGGGUUUUGCCUGUGAGUUUACUGGUCUCCGUCUGUUGUUGGCUGUGUGGCGAUUCACCGCUCCUGUUUUCCCUAUCCUGCCGGUUCUUCGAUCCUCUGCCUGCUCUCGACAAUCCAUCUGUCUGCCCCUGCUGGUUUCGUCUGCAUCGCUGUCUGUUCACCGGCUCUCAGCAGCUUCUCACCGCCCUCAAGCCUGCCUGCCCUGUUGGUCCUGGUAACUCGCUCGCCUGGCACACGGGAGACCGGGGUUCCUGCCUGAACACUCGCUACUUAAGUGGGUUGCAGUUGUGCUGGAGCCUAUCCCAGCUGACAUUGGACGAGAGGCGGGGUACACCCUGGACUGACACAUAGAGACAGAUUAACCACCAAUUAACCUGCAUGUCUUUGGACUAUGGGUGGAAGCCGAAGUACGCAGAGAAAACCCACACUGACCCAGGGAGAACAUGCAAACUCCACAUAGAUGGGCUCUCCCAUCCUGGGGUUCAAACCCCCCACCCUUGGUUCAAACCAGGAGCCCUCUUCCAGUGAAGUGACAAUGCUAACCAUUGCACCAUCAUGCUGCCCCAACAUAUGUGUGUAACAUCAAUCAUGUAAUAUUUUAAACUGCAUUAAAACAUGUCUCAUGAUCCCAAACUAA